GUUAGUAAAAUUCAUAGGGGUGAGGCCGGAGGCCAAAUCCCCUAUGGAUUUUAUUCACCCUCUAUGGUCCGUAGGGGGUCAGUAGUUAACCGUAUAACGAAUUUAUCGCACGCUGGACUUUUUCUGCUGCGUUAUGUUGAAAAAUAAACAACGAAACACAACGACAUCAAUAGAUGACGUCACCAUUAACGCGUCAUGAACCCCCUAUGAAAUCUACUAACCCCAUA
rnacentral:lncRNA from 1 species